GAAUAUUGGACAAUGGAGGGGACUCUGAUCCAGCCAUACCGCGUGAAGGAAGACGGUCCUCUGGAUUGUAAACUUCUUUUAUACAGGAAGAAACGAAGGUUUGCGAACUUUCUUUGACGGUACUGUAUGAAUAAGCACCGGCUAACUACGUGCCAGCCGCCGCGGUAAUACGUAGGGUGCAAGCGUUGUCCGGAAUUACUGGGUUUAAAGGGUACGUAGGUGGGCUAGUAAGUCUGGAGUGAAAGUUUGAGGCUCAACCUCGAAAGUGCUUUGGAUACUGUUAGUCUAGAAUUAGAUAUAGGUAGCUGGAAUUUGUGGUGUAGCGGUGAAAUGCAUAGAUACCACGAGGAACACCAAUUGCGAAGGCAGGCUACUGGGUCUAUAUUGACACUGAUGUACGAAAGUGUGGGUAGCGAACAGGA
rnacentral:rRNA from 1 species